AGGUUUUCUUAUUACACAGGCUAUUAAAAAUGAAUAAUAAAAAAAAAACCAAGGUUGACCUUUUGUUCAAAACAGCGACCAGAUGUGAUCCACAGGAGUUAGUUGACUGGCAGUGAUAGAGGAAGAGGAAGAAAGGAGUAAAGAAGCCUUUCCGGUUUCGUGCUUGACUAAUGGGCAGAAUUUGGUUUCACCCACUAACGAGCAAGCUCCCUGAGCUGAGCAGAGGACAUGGCCUUUGUAAGCUGAAGAGGACUAAAGAAGCAGAAACUGACCAAAAAGCAGAUGGUUCAUUUCAAAGUUACUCUCCUUACAUGGUUGAGACAGGAGACCUCUUUAUCAUGCCAACUCAGGUAAGUUGCACCCUGCCCUGGUUGCUGUAAGUCUCCUGGUUUGUUUUUGUUUGUUUGUUUUUUGAAAACUGGCCCAUUUGAAAGUUUAGUUUAAUUACAUGUCAUCUAACACUGUUAUCACAUAAUUAGACAUUGCCCAGGAUAUACAAGUAGCAACUUUCUCCAUGGGCAAAUGGCAGAGGCAUUCAGUGUGCCAAUGGGGGACAGUGUCAAAUUUCCCAGUAGUGCUCUGUAUUCACAGCUUCAGCUGUUGGCAUCAGAAAGAGAUCUCUGCCACUAUGGAGGGCAGUUUAUAUUCGGUCAGCUGCCUGCCCUUUUGGCCAAGAGAAAUGUGAUUAGGAGAACAUAAACAGUAUGGCAUAGGUGGGCUCAAAAAUAGAUGGUGCUAGGGACAUAAAUGCAUAGGUGGAAUUGUCCUUGACUAUAGGUAUAAAUAUAGAUAUAGUCCUUGAUGACAGAUAGAUAGACUGAUUGAGUCCUUGAAUACAUACACACACACACACACACACACACACACACACACACACACACACACAGUCUAGUGCUCCUAGGCUGCAAAGCUGAGCAGCAUGUUACCAUACUGAAUGCUGUAAGCAAUUGUAACACAAUUGUAAGUAUUUGUAUAUCUAAAUAGAGAAAAGAUAUAGUAGGGCUGGUGUGGUGGCUCACGCCUGUAAUCCAAGCACUUUGGAGGCCAAGGUGGGUGGAUCACCUGAGGUUGGGAGUUCAAGACCAGCCUGACCAACAUGGUCAAACCCCCUCUUUAAAAAAUAUAUACGUUUAUAUUAAAAUAAAUAAAUAAAUAAAUAAAUAAAUAAAAAGAUAUAGUAAAAAUAAAGCAUAAAAUAUUUAAAAUGGUACACCUAUAUAGAUCACUUACCUUAAUUGGAGCUUUCAGGAUGAAGUUGCUCUGGGUGAGUCAGUAAGUGCUGAGUGAAUGUGAAGGCCAAGGACAUUACUCUGCUGUAGACUUCGUACACACUGUACAUUAGAUUCCUAUUUUUUAAAUAAAGUAAUGACACUACUAUGUUACAAUGGCUAUGGUGUUUUCACUAGAUGAUAGGAUUUUUUUGGCUUCACUAUAAUCUUAUGGACCACUGUCAUAUAUGCAUCUGCAGUUGACUGAAAUGUCAACCAUAUUUGACAUUUCUAGCCCAUAAGUGUAGUGGAGAAAACAUAGGAUAAUAGUUUUUAAAUCUUUAAGAUUUUGCUUGGGAUGAUGCUAAGGUCAAUAGUCAUUACAAAGUAUUGAUUCUCAGAAGAUCUUGGAAUCUCCACAGAGCUGAAUAAACCCACUGUUUUUGUAUACAAAUUGAAGAGUGUUCAGCCGGGGCACCGUGAGAUCUCAGCAUGCUUCUGAGAACAUCCAAAGUGAAUUUAUGUGAACUCAGGCCUGGGAUGUAAUUAAAGAAAGCUGUGACGUCAUCAGUUGUGUUGUAAAUUGACCUUCCUAGUUGGUAGCAGGAGGGUGCUGAACUGAAUGUCAGACCCUUGGACGCAAAAGGAAACUUGCGUAUCUCAGUGAAUGGAAAGAUCUUGAACUAGAACACCUUCUAUCAAGUCAUGAACAACUUCUCCAAACUGGAACCAGUACUCUGCCUCUAUUUGGUCAGUUCCCAUUCAUGUUUUUAUUUUGCUAUUUGCACAGAUAAAACAAGAAGGCAUUGCUGUUAUAAAAAGUGUAAGCAAUACUAUUUUUUGAAUAUUGCAUAAAAUGUGGACGUUUCCAUCAUGUCACACCCAAUCCCACUUUCUUACCCAGAGGUUACAGCUGUGUAUUUAUGCAGUAGAUGCCUGUCAGUCCUUUGGCCUUUCCCUUCUUGAGGUCACUAAGAUGGUCAUGCAAACGGCCACCCCUUCCAACAGAGCCCAUGUGAUCUGAGGGGAAGUUGACUCCACCCACCCGCCCGUAAUGGGCCACCAUCAGUCUAGGGCUGUGUCUUACCAAAAUGUGGACCUUGAAGCCUAAAGCCUCCUCAAGACCCUUUCAGGUGGUCUGAGGAAAAAAUAUUUUCACAGUGAUACUGAGACAUCAUUUGCCUUUUACCUAUUAGAUUUGCAGUGGGGAUGCAAAAGCAGGGGUAGGUAAAUCCACUGGCACCUCGCUGGGAGUAAGGCAGUGACACAGAAAUGUACCUACUAGUGACCACCGUGUUCUUCAUCACAUGUGAUCAUGGCAAACAACGCUACACUUGAGAAUAUCCUCAAUGCAGUAACAACAACAACAAAAUCAGUUUUAUUAAAUCUUAGCUGUGGAGUAACAUCUUAAUAAUCCUUCAUGUGACUAAACGGAACUUGCACGGGGCACGUGGGAUGCAUACCCAAGUGCAAUAGCUCCCCUGCAGGAAGCGACCUCUGAGCUGCGCGCUGAGCCAGCUGCUUUCUUCACGGAGAGUCUUUUACUUGAAAGAAUAGCUAGCAGUUAAACUGGUGAGUCUGGCAGACUUUUUUUUUUUUUUUUUCCAAAAACAAAUUCACUUCAAAAGAAAACAACGGGUAAUAUUGCCAACAAUAAAAUUGGAACUUUCAAAUGAAAACUUGAGUCUUGGAAAACUUAUAUUGUUCUAUGAGCCUCAUACCUUCUCAAUUCUUGAAGACUUUUUCAUGAGAUCUGCGGCAAUGGCAACCAUUGUGGGUUUUCAAAACUGUAUGAUGAAAUGCAUUUGGAAAGUUGGCACAAUGCAGUAAACCAACAUUUUGAAUAAUGCAUGAUGUUUAAAAAUGAUGAAUGGGUAAAUGGCUCUUGUAAGCUUAAGAUAUACCAAUGGGUUUUAAUUUAAGUACAAAAAUUUCAUUGAUAUGAUCUCAAACUUUACAUGGCUGCUAACCUUUAAGCAAUUACCAGUUUCUGAGUUUUAGUAUAAUAUGAAAGAAUAGUCACUUUAUCUGAAAAGGUUAUAAAGAUACCCCUUCCAGGCUGGGCACUGCGGGUAGUUCAUGCCUACAAUCCCAGCACUGUGGGAGGCUGAGGUGGGCAGAUUGUUUGAACUCAGGAGUUUGAAACCAGCCUAGGCAAUAUGGCAAAACCCAAUGUUUCACCACAAAAAAUACAAGAAUUCGCCAUACAUGGUGGUGCAUAC
rnacentral:lncRNA from 1 species